rnacentral:lncRNA from 1 species
GUUUAAUUGACUUACAGUUCUGCAGAUUGUAAAGGAGACAUGGCUGGGAGACCUCAGGAAACUUAACAGUUACAGCAGAAGGAGAAGGAGAGGCAAGUAUGUCUUACAAUGGCAAAGCAGGAGAGAGAACAAAGGGGGAAAGGCUACACACUUUUAAACCACAAGAUCUUGUGAAAACUCACUCAGUAUCUUGAGAACGACAAGAGGAAAAUCUGCCCCCAUGAUUCAAUCACCUCCCAUGAGACCCUCUCCUCUAAAACAUGGGAAUGACAAUUUGACAUGAGAAUUGUGUGGGGACACAGAACCAAACCAUAUCAUUCCACCAUGGCUCCUCCCAAAUCUCAUGUCCUUCUCACAUUUCAAAACAGAAUCAUGCCUUCCCAAUAGUCCCCCAGGUCUUAACUCAUUUCAGCAUUAACUCAAAAUCCAAGUCCAAAGUCUCAUCUGAGACAAAGCAAGUCUCUUCUGCCUAUGAGCCUGUAAAAUAAAAAACAAGUUAGUUACUUCAAAGAUACAAGGGGGGUAGAGGCAUUGGGUAAAUUUCUCCCAUUCCAAAAGGGAGAAAUUGGCCAAAACAAAGGGGUUACAGGCCCCAUACAAGUCCAAAACCAAGCAGGAAACUCAUUAAAUCUUAAAGCUCCAAAAUAAUCUCCUUUCAGUCCAUGUCUUACAUCCAGGGCAUGCUUAUGUAAGGGGUGGGCUCCUACGGCCUUGGGCAGCUCUUCCCCUAUGGCUCUUCAGGGUACAGCCACCACAGCUGCUUUCACAGGAUGGUGUUCGGUGCGUAUGGCUUUUCCAGACACAUAGUGCAAGCUGUUGGUUGAACCAUCAUUCAGGAAUCUGAAGGACAGUGGCUCUCUUCUCACAGCUCUACUAGGCACUGCCCCAGUGGGGAGUCUGCAUGGAGGCUCCAACCUCACAUUUCCCCUCUGCACUGCCCUAGUAGAGGUUCUUCAUGAGGUCUCCACCCUUGCAGCAGAUUUCUACCUGGAUAUGCAGGUGUUUCUGUACAUCCUAUGAAAUCUAGGCAAAGGCUCCCAAACUCCAACUCUUGCCUUCUGCACACCACAGGCCCAACACCAUGUGGAAGCUGCCAAGGCUUGGGACUUGCCCCCUCUGAAGUCAUGACCCAAGCUGUACCUUGGUCCCUAUUAGCCAUAGCUGGAGUUGGAGUGGCUGGGACACAGGGUGCCAUGUCCCAAGGCUGUACAGAGCAACGGGGCCUUGGGCCUGGCCCCAGAAAAUGGGAUUUUCUUUUCUACCACAUGGUCAGGCUCUGUUUGUGAGCACAUAUAACUGAAUGCUUU